rnacentral:misc_RNA from 1 species
UGAAGCUGCAAAAGAUUUUUUAGUGUGAUAAGUAAAGCCUUCCAAGCCCAGACUCUUUGUAACCAGUGAUUCUUCUGACAACAACUCGACAUUGCCUUAGAGCCACUGGGUACAUAUUGCUUUAGAGCCACUGGGGUCAGCCAUUCUGCCCCACAUAUAUUGCUUUCGCGUCCUAUUUGAUAAGACAGAUGAUGUAAUACGGGCGUAAUAGGUUUCACC